CCAGGCUUUCCCGAAGGCCCCUCCCACCUCCACACCAGGACUGAGCACGCAGGCUGAGUGGGUUAGGUUUCUUUUCCUCAUUGCUAAAAAGCAAGCUUCCAAGAAUAUUUCUGACUAAACUGCAAAGUCAAAGAUAAAAUAAUUACUGAGCAAGUCUGUUAUUUUAUGCCAUUCCUUUCCUACGAGCUAAUCUACUUUGUGAAGUAGUCUAUGAUCUCGUGAAAUGGAAGAAAGAAACUGUCAACCCCAAACUCACAUUUCAUUCUAAGUUCUACAGAUUAGCUCAUUAGCCGCUCAAAUCUCCAUGGAGGACAAACCAGGACACCAGGCGCAGGGGAGCUGUGCAGGGCCGGCCGGAACGGGGAUCUUUUCUUUAAAGGCCUGUGGUGCCGAUCAUUCUUAAAAAGUAUCAGUCUUAAACUGAAAUUAAAACUCAUGCACACAGAGCGCUUAGAGGCUUUCUAACUAAGGCCUUUACUGCAAGGCGCAUGCUGUAAAUGCGUCUUGGGGGCUUAGUUUUGGCUGCUUUCUGCUUCCCCCCAACCCACGCUGCGGUCCCUCACCAAGUCCAGCCCACUGGAGAGCAUCACAGAUGUCUUUUGGACCAAGUCUUCUGAUCUCAGAUGCUGAUCCUACAAGUGUCUGUAUCCCACGUCUGGCUUGGCGACUGCUUUCGAGAAGCCCAAUCAACAACGUUUGCUGGUGCAUGAGUGUGUGUGUGUGUGUGUGUGCACAUGUGUAAGUGUGUGAGCAAGCAUGUCACUGUGUGUGUUUGCAACCAUGUGUGUCAGUGCAUGUGUGAGUGAAAACAGAGGAGCAAAUUUAACUCCACAGAAUUACAUCUUCAGCGAACCAGCUUGGCUGACAUGUGCCCAACGUUCAACAUGGGAAUUCAAUCCACGACAGCAUUUACUCCAGCUCCGCUCCCCCAGGGACACCUGGUGAGCAGUGCCUUGGGGUUGUGACCACAGUGGCCUGUGCUCCCGAGACACCCUGGUCAGUACUUCUCAACACCGGCAGGCGUUACAGGAAGUGCGCGGCCCCCGGUGGAUGAGCAGACUCCCGCUCCCGGCUGCUCGACCCCUGCGCCCCAGGUGAGGGCACGGCCUCUGUCCCCCCACGCUGUGCUUUUCCAGGCUGUCUUCUCUCAGCUCC
rnacentral:lncRNA from 1 species